rnacentral:snoRNA from 1 species
UACCUCCCAGGAUGGCAUGUGGAGAGUUUCCAGUACUUUACCAGUCUCAGUUACAGGAGGGAGAGUCAAGCAGAGGCCUACCCAUUCCAUUCCUAGCUUGGACAGUGGCUAGCGAGUGGAAGGCCAUCUGCUACAAGU